rfam:Schistosoma mansoni, Puerto Rico, WGS project CABG01000000 data, contig: 0124
GCACUGCCGAGGGGUCCCACAAUAGGACAAAACGGCCGUCCAGUGC